UUCAACAUUGUUUAAACUGCUCAGCUGGGGAGUGAGAGAGGUAGAUGGAAAUUGCUAGUGUAGGAGUGAAAUCCGUAGAUAUUAGCAGGAACACCGAUGGGCGUAGGCAGUCUACUGGCUCAUUUCUGACACUAAGGGCACGAAAGCGUGGGGAGCAAACGGGAUUAGAUACCCCGGUAGUCCACGCUGUAAACUAUGGACGCUAGCUGUAAGAAGUAUCGACCCUUCUUGUAGCGAAGCUAACGCGUUAAGCGUCCCACCUGUGGAGUACGGUCGCAAGACUAAAACAUAAAGGAAUUGACGGGGACCCGCACAAGCGGUGGAGCGUGUUGUUUAAUUCGAUGGUAAGCGAAGAACCUUACCCAGGCUUGACAUCCUACUAAUUUCUCCGAAAGGAGAGAGUGCCUUCGGGCCGUAGAGACAGGUGUUGCAUGGCCGUCGUCAGCUCGUGUCGUGAGAUGUUAGGUUAAGUCCUUCAACGAGCGCAACCCUUUUGUUUAGUUGUAUUUUUCUAAACAGACUGCCCUGGCAACAGGGAGGAAGGAGGGGAUGAUGUCAGGUCAGUAUUACCCUUACGUCUGGGGCUACAAACACGCUACAAUGGCCGGUACAAAGGGCUGCCAACCCGCGAGGGGGAGCAAAUCCCAUCAAAGCCGGUCUCAGUUCGGAUAGGAGGCUGAAACUCGCCUCCUUGAAGCUGGAAUCGCUAGUAAUGGUAGGUCAGCACACUACCGUGAAUACGUUCCCGGGUCUUGUACACACCGCCCGUCAAACCAUGAAAGUCACCAAUACCUGACGUGCAGCUUUUCGCGGUCCUAAGGUAGGGGGGAUAAUUGGGG
rnacentral:rRNA from 1 species